rnacentral:tRNA from 1 species
GCCGUGUAGUUCAAUUGGUGGAACACAGGAUUUUGAUUCCUGAUGCUGUUGGUUCGAGUCCAAUCACGGCCG